GAUGAACGCUGGCGGCGUGCUUAACACAUGCAAGUCGAACGAUGAAGCCCAGCUUGCUGGGUGGUUUAGUGGCGAACGGGUGAGUAACACGUGAGUAACCUGCCCUUGACUCUAGGAUAAGCCCGGGAAACUGGGUCUAAUACUGGAUAGGAACGUCUACCGCAUGGUGGGUGUUGGAAAGAAUUUCGGUCAUGGAUGGACUCGCGGCCUAUCAGCUUGUUGGUGAGGUAAUGGCUCACCAAGGCGACGACGGGUAGCCGGCCUGAGAGGGUGACCGGCCACACUGGGACUGAGACACGGCCCAGACUCCUACGGGAGGCAGCAGUGGGGAAUAUUGCACAAUGGGCGCAAGCCUGAUGCAGCGACGCCGCGUGAGGGAUGACGGCCUUCGGGUUGUAAACCUCUUUCAGUAGGGAAGAAGCGAAAGUGACGGUACCUGCAGAAGAAGCACCGGCUAACUACGUG
rnacentral:rRNA from 1 species